GAUGAACGCUGGCGGCGUGCCUAAUACAUGCAAGUCGAGCGAACGGACGAGAAGCUUGCUUUUCUGAUGUUAGCGGCGGACGGGUGAGUAACACGUGGAUAACCUACCUAUAAGACUGGGAUAACUUCGGGAAACCGGAGCUAAUACCGGAUAAUAUUUUGAACCGCAUGGUUCAAAAGUGAAAGACGGUCUUGCUGUCACUUAUAGAUGGAUCCGCGCUGCAUUAGCUAGUUGGUAAGGUAACGGCUUACCAAGGCAACGAUGCAUAGCCGACCUGAGAGGGUGAUCGGCCACACUGGAACUGAGACACGGUCCAGACUCCUACGGGAGGCAGCAGUAGGGAAUCUUCCGCAAAGGGCGAAAGCCUGACGGAGCAACGCCGCGUGAGUGAUGAAGGUCUUCGGAUCGUAAAACUCUGUUAUUAGGGAAGAACAUAUGUGUAAGUAACUGUGAACAUCUGGACGGUACCUAAUCAGAAAACCACGGCUAACUACGU
rnacentral:rRNA from 1 species